AUCUUUAUAGUUUAAAUAAAAAUAUUAAAUUGCAAAUUUGAAGAAUUUUUGAAAAAUUAAGAU
rnacentral:tRNA from 1 species